CCCGCUCGGAGAUGGAUGGCCGCGGCAUUCUGGGCCUGGUGUGGGCUGGCUGGCGUCGGGGGCUGAGGGGCUGCUCGGAGGCCAAGGACGCAGGCAUUGUCACCCGGGCCCGGCAUCAGCUGCAAGCUGGAGGCUCCAGCAGACGGCUGCGGCCCCUCGGGGACCCGCCCUUCCCGGGGCCGCUGCAGCCGGAGAACCUCAGCCGGGAGCAGUUGGUCGAGGUGCUCAGGGCCGCCGUGGUGGACCGGAAAGGACCUCUGGUAACACUGAACAAGCCACAGGGUCUGCCAGUGACAGGAAAACCAGAAGAGCUGACAUUACUCUCAGUGCUGCCAGAGUUGAGCCAGUCCCUGGGGCUUGGGAAGCAGGAGCUCCAGGUUGUCCGAGCACCUGGGAAGGAGACCUCUGGGCUUGUACUCCUUUCUAGUUGUCCCCAGACAGCAAGUCGCCUCCAGAAGUUCUUCAUCCACUCACGGAGAGCCCAGAGACCCACAGUCACCUACUGUGCUGUCACCGAUGGGAUCCCAGCUGUUUCUGACGGGAAGAUCCAGGCAGCUUUGAAACUGGAACAUACUGACACAGUCAGUCUUGUAGUUCCGGUAAAGGACCCCUCCCGAAAGGACAUCCUAGAAGGUGUCAAGAAGACCCUCAGCCACUUCCGUGUGGUAGCCACAGGCUCCGGCUGCGCCCUGGUCCAGCUGCAGCCAGUGACAGCGUUCCCCAGCCAGCUGCAGGUGCACAUGGUCCUGCAGCUCUGCCCUGUGCUCGGCGACCACAUGUAUGCUGCUCGAGUGGGCACCGUCCUGGGCCAGCGCUUUCUGCUGCCGGCUGCGAGCACCAAACCCCAAAAGCAGAGGCGACUCUGCCUGGAGGCAAAGGCAGAACACGGCAGCAGGACAAGCCUGGGCUCUGGAGAGAGAUCAGCCUGGGCUCGAGGUAACUGCCUCACAGAGCGACUACUUGGAGAGAACAGUACUCAUUUGGCUUUGUAUUUCAAAAGGAUACUUUGCCACCACUGGCAGACAGCUUCUGCAGCUGAGCCACGUUCUCUGCACAGAGACUUUGAGUUAUGACACCCCGACAGAUCGGAGGCUUGGAGCCUGCCUGGAGCCGCAUAUGAAACCAAGAACAUGAGCUCCUGAGAGCUGGAUCAUGUGUUAUCGCUGUUAACAUCCCAAGUGCCUGGAGCAGUGAGGGGCCCAGGUCUGUCACCUGAGGGCUGAAGUUUAUCCUAAGGAAAUAAAUGGAAAAGGCCACAAAGAUAUCUGCACAGGAUGUUCAUCAUAAUGUUGCUUGUAAUAGCAAUCAAUAAAUGAACAAAUAAAUAUGAAGAAACGAGUCCAUCUAAAUAUCUAUCAGAAGAGGAUUAGAUAAAUCCAAGAAAGUAUAUCCAAACAAGAUUAGACCAUGCAGCUGUAAAACAGAAUGAGGUAAGAGAGUACAUGCUGUACUUCAUAUAAAAGUGAUUGACUGAUUGAUUAUAGAUAGUGCCUUGCUUUGGUGCUCAGGCUAGAGUGCAGUGGUGUCAUCAUAGCUCAAUGCAACCUCAAACUCCCGGGCUCAAGUGAUCCUCCUGU